AUGCGAAUGAGGGGGAGGCUCAUGAGGAACUCCGGCGAGGAACGAGAUGACGCGCUGGUCGAGGGGUCGUUGUGUCGAGCUCGGGAAGGAGGCCGAGCGCUGCGGGCGCGCGACGACGGCUGCCGGAGCUCGGGCGGAUGCUGCAUGGAGGAGCUACGACGGCUGGGAGACGAAGCCGAGCUUGAUGACGAGGAGGCCAUGGUCGUGGGCGCGCGAGGAAUAGAAGGAGGCGAGCGCGAGGUGACUGACGGAGGCGGCUCGGGGCAUCGGGCUGGCCAUGGCACCAUGGGGAAAAGGAGGCUGCACAGGCAGGGUGUAGCACGACAGCAGGACGGCGGCGGCUGCAUGGGAGGUGAGGGCGGCGGAGCAAGCUCGCCGCGAGGAUGA
rnacentral:rRNA from 1 species